GAUUUUCUUAGCACCAAAACAAGAACUGAAGGACACGAGUACACUGGAAUGUCGAUGUCGUUUACUUUGAAGCAACCGUCGUAGCGAAGACAAUGGCCAUUGCCACCGCAGUGAUCCCUUUGAAGCUCAUCACCAGUCGCAGGCUUCAACCUAAAAAUCAUACUUCAUUUCUUGCUCAAAAUCGGCCCUUCAAGGUCUCAUACUGUGUUCUUCACAAUCCAAGCUCUCUCCAUACUCAUUGUCAGAAAUCGUCAAUUAAUUUGACACUCGUAUUCCAAUAGAGAAAACCCUGACUCCACCCAGAUCCUGGUACACCGACCCUUCAUUUUACGAUUAUGAGCUCCAUCGUAUCUUCUAUGGAGGAUGGCAAGCUGUUGGAUACACUGAACAGAUAAAGGAUCCUCGUGGCUUUUUCACAGUAAGGUUCUUAGAAGAAGAAAGGGAAAUGCUUGAAUAUGACUUCCAUUUGUAUGCAUUUCAACCAAUCUUUUUCCCUGUUUUCUGAGAACCUAAUGGAGGAUUAACUCUGGCAGAUUCGGAAAUAUAGAAUUUGUUGUGUGUUGAGAUGAUGAUGGCAAGGUUCAUGCGUUUCACAAUGUGUGCAGCCAUCAUGGCUCUCUUCUUGCAUCGGGAAGUGGGAAAAAGUCUUGCUUUGUAUGCCCUUACCAUGGGAUUUUAUUUGUGCUGCUUCAUGCAAACAUUUUGGA